rnacentral:rRNA from 1 species
UACGGAGGGUGCAAGCGUUAUCCGGAUUCACUGGGUUUAAAGGGUGCGUAGGUGGGUUUGUAAGUCAGUGGUGAAAUCUCCAAGCUUAACUUGGAAACUGCCGUUGAUACUAUAAAUCUUGAAUGUUGUGGAGGUGAGCGGAAUAUGUCAUGUAGCGGUGAAAUGCUUAGAUAUGACAUAGAACACCAAUUGCGAAGGCAGCUCACUAACACAAAGAAU